ACUCUAGAGGACCCCAGCCGCAGGAUCUCAAAAAAGAGAGCAAAAGAGAGCAGCAACCAAGCGUCCACCAUCUCCCUCACGCCAUCCCGAUCGUCUUCUCCAAAAAUACACCGCCAGCCCUCAGCCCCAUUCCCAUCGCCACUGUUUCUCCAUCUCAAAAACUCCAGCGAACUCCUCCAAAAGAACACCCUUAAGCAGCGGUUGCUGCUUCUUCAAACACCAUCUUAGAUCCCUUCCCACUUGAACCCUAACGCCGUCGUCUCCCCAUACUCUCAAGAAACAUCCCAGCGGCAAGCCCCUUUUCUCUCUAACGUUCCUCAUUUCUCGCUUCCAUCGCCGAUCUUCAGCGACCAGCCAUGGCCAAAACGACCUCAUUCAUCAUUUUCCUCACCCCAUUUCAUCACUAACAGUCCGGCGACAGCCAUGGCUGAGCAACAUGGAGAUUAGCAUGAGGUCUAUUGACUGCUCGUGAGGUUCAAGUUCGUUGGUUUCGAAUCUAUUUCUACUACUGUCUUGCUCGUUUACUGCUGGGGGUUCUAAUUCCGGCGCCGGAUUUGCUUGUAAUAGCUUCUGAGCAGAAAUAAUUAAAACUCUCAUUCAGAUUUCAGUUGCUUUGGAAAAAUUAGAUGUUGAUUAGCUUGCGCAUCCGGAUUUCAUCUCCAUUAGCUCCUCUGAUUUGUCUGUAUGUUGCUCUUUUCUCUUUCUUUUGUUUUUUGUUUAUUAAUGAUGUUCUUCUGUUGUUAUGUUAAUUGAAAAAGAAAGAUACUUGGGGUUCUACAGUUUCAAUUUGUGCAUUGCAAAUUCAUGCGUGUAUUGGUUUUGGUUGAAGUGAAAUCUGACGUUGUAUAAUGGUUUUAGUUUCAUUGGGUUUGACUAAGAAAGCGUAUAUAGCUAACGUGUUAAAUUUUAUGUAACUUGAUAUAUGGAGUAUUACUUGUCUGCUUAUUGACAUUCGUACAAUUAAAUCAUUCAGAAAUUUAUUCAUAUUUCACACACCUUGUAAAUAUAUUUUCAGGUGUUUGACUCGUUCUUUUGAAAAUGAUUUGUUUGCACUUGACUUGCCAUGAAGCAUCCUACUGCUGCAUGCGAAAAAUACAAACAUCUUGUUUUUUUUUUAAAUUUUAAUUUGAUAAGAAUACAAUCUUGUUAAGAGAUGCAUGGUCAUGGGGAUUGAGCUAAAACAAACUAACGUAAGAAAACUAGAAUAACAGCAAGUAAAUGUGCCGCGGUAAUGUUAAUGAGCUUUUAACUAAUUAUAUCAUCGUGAUUGUGUACACGUUCGCGUGACAUAAUUACGAUUCUAAAAUGAAAAUCAAGGUAUGCGUUCGCGCAACUUUGACCAAACUUUCUCAAUAAUAAUAAAGCGUGAUUAAUUGUGGACACGUACACGUGACAUGAUUUUUGAUGCGUCAAACGAAAUGAGUACACGUACGCAUAACUCGUUUUAGGAUAAUUUCUUAAUUAAAAGAGGUAAAAAUGCACAUAGGUUCUAAAAUGAGUAAUUAGACAAUUUAAUUAAACGAAGUAUGAUUAAAGCGACCGCACUAAAACUUCGGAACCCCGGAAUACCUAACACCUUCUCCCGGGUUAACAGAAUUCCUUACCCGAAUUUUUGUGUUUCGCGGACUGUAUAACAGAGUCCACUUCCUCGAUUCGGGAUUUUAAAUUGGUGACUUGGGACACCAUAAAUUAUCCCAAGUGACGACUCUGAAUUCAAUAUAAAUAAUCCCGUUUCGAUUGUCACUUAAAUUGGAAAAAACUCCUUUAUAAGCCCUUUCACGGUAGAAAAAGGAGGUGUGACAGCUCUGGCCACUCUGGUAGGGAAAAGAACCCAGAACUUCUGGUUCAGGGUUCAAGAAUUCGAACUUUUUAAUAUGAUUUUAUUUACCUUUAUUUAUUGUUAAUAUUACUGUAUUUUGUGAACCUAAUGUGCUAAUUGCUAUUUAUUUACCAUUUCGAUAUUGUUUGAAUUUUAUUAAAUGUCUUCUUACGCCUCCCAUAUGAGUCUUCUAAAAAUGGUGCACACGUUCGCGUGGCUCACUUUUCUGUUAGAAGUUCUACCAAAUAGAGCGAGGCUGGACCAGCAACAAGGCCGGGUAGACUUUAGUGCUCCUAGUACGUUGCCCCCAUCUCGGCUCGAGCUAUCCGCUCGGGUAAGCCAGGUCUAGAACACAACCCCAGGUUUAAACCUAAAAUAAUAUAACCUCAUGCCAGAUCUCUAGUAGGAAACAUAACCUCAUGGUGGAUCCCUAGUAGGAACGUUUGUUUGUAUCACGUAUUUAACUUAGGGGACUCAACAUAGGGGUUGGGUCCGUCUUGGCAGGUGUACCCCAAAAAAUAAAGGCGAAAUACAUAAGUUACCACCUGAUCUAUGGACCAAAUCCCCUUUACACACUUCCUGACAGCAAAAAUCAUCUUACACACUCAACCUUUCAAAAGUGUAUCUAAUACACACUAUUUUUUUCUUGACCAGUUUUGUAGAACAUGUGUAGUGUCACGCACCAAUAAAAUCGUGACACGUGUCAGUACUGUUUUUCAAAGAAUAAAAUACUUAAAUUUUCAACUCCACCCUUUAACCAUCUUCUCCCUCUCAUCUCUUUCUCUUCUCCGACAAAGUAUCCCCUGCCGACCACAAGAAAAAAUCCACCAAAAAUUAAAAUAAUUUUUCCUUCCUCCAUUAUAACCACCUUAUCACUGUUGUUACUGCCAUAGCUGCCACCAACGUCGUAGGUAACACAAUCACCAUUAAUGUUCAAAACAAAUCAACAAAUACCACAGUCCCCCUUCUCCAUACCCAUUUAAAAAAAGAAACCUUUGUUUGAAAACGAGAAAUCCAGCAACAAUUGAAGAGGAAAAUACUUUAAAUGUUUGUUAUGAUUCUUUUUAUACAUGGGAAGAAACAUAAUAUCAAGCUGGAUUAUAACUUCAAAUGCAAAACUCACUUUAAAUUGGCUUUAAUUUGUUGUAGUGAGAGUUUGCCGGAAGGUGAUUUGGGGAAGAAAUGUAAAAUAAUUUUUUUUGUGUCUAUGGGGGGGAGGGGGGGAGCGAAGUGGGAGGAUGGAUCUAAGCUGGGAUGAUAAGGAACAAAAAAGAAAGCCAGAUCUGGUUUCCCCUUUUCUAGUUUCUUUUUACUAUCAGAUUAAGAAAAGAUAUAAGGAAAAAAAUUAUGACAUGUGGCAUUUAAUUAAGGAUCUGAAUAAAAUUUUAGAGGUCAUACGCGCACAAUGUUUUAGUUAAACACGCGCAUGCCAUUUGGAAAAAAUGGUGUGUCUUAGACUCACUUUUGAAAGGUUGAAUGUGUAAGAUGAUUUUUGCAGUCAGAAAGUGUGUAAGGGGGAUUUGGUUCAUAGUUCAGGUGGUAACAUAUGUAUUUUGCCAAAAAUGAAAGACCAUCCUGAUGCAUCCUAUGUGCCACAUGUUGUAUUUCUUCAAGGGUAAAAGGGUCAUUUGGCGGACCAAUGAUGGUUGAGGGUAAAUGAGAAAUAAAAGAGGGUGAAGUGUGAAAAUAAAGCAAGUAGGGCCCAGUUAUGUUUUUCUUUCACAUUUUCUUUAAGAAAAAGACAAAAAAAAUUGAAAAACCAAAAAGAUUUUGCACUUCCCCAUUAUUUUUUCAAAAAAAAAAGGACAAAAAAAUAUGUUUUCUUCAAAUUAGUAUUUUUUUUUAAUUCUCGACCGUAUCCAAUCUGCACGAACUAUGCAUACCUGAUUGUCGUCUUUCGGGGCAUGAUACGUAGGCAACUUACAUAGGGCCCGGUCUUUCUAGUGAAUCUUAGGUUCUUGGCUUCGCGGGGUCUUAGCCAAAUCUUGCAUGUCUAGCCACUUUUGGCCACGUAGGCCGUUUUGCCAAAGCAGCCUCAAUCAUGUCUUGCAUGUGUCCAACAGGAAGUGUUAUUGUCUCACAUAGUGUUCUAAGUCUUUAACUUUAUUUGGUUUUAAUUUUCUCAUACAGGUGUGGAUCUACUUACCGGAGUUUGAGCAUGACAGACGCCCCAGGACCAUCCAGCCAGGAUCGCUCAUUCAGAAGUUGCUUAAGGAGAUUUUUUUUCUUUAUGUUUUGAGUAUGUUUUUCUUUUUAUGUCGUCUUUUACCUUCUAGUUUUGUACAGUAAUAUCGAGCUCUUUAGGUGAUGGCAGAGUCUGUCAUAGUCUAGUUUAAGUUUGCCAAGUCUUUUGUUAUUGUGUUUCCUAUUUUGUAUUUGAAAAAGAAGUGUUAUAAGUCAAAAAUCCAAAAAAAAAAGAAGAGAUUUUGCAUUUUUAUAUUUCCG
rnacentral:lncRNA from 1 species